rnacentral:rRNA from 1 species
CUCACAUUUGAUAUCUGGCACUUUCAGUGUCCGAGUUGUAAUUUGAAGAAGGUAUCUUUGGGUCUGGCUCUUGUCUAUGUUUCUUGGAACAGAACGUCACAGAGGGUGAGAAUCCCGUGCGAUGAGAUGUCCCAGACCUAUGUAAAGUUCCUUCGAAGAGUCGAGUUGUUUGGGAAUGCAGCUCUAAGUGGGUGGUAAAUUCCAUCUAAAGCUAAAUAUUGGCGAGAGACCGAUAGCGAACAAGUACAGUGAUGGAAAGAUGAAAAGAACUUUGAAAAGAGAGUGAAAAAGUACGUGAAAUUGUUGAAAGGGAAGGGCUUGAGAUCAGACUUGGUAUUUUGUAUGUUACUCUCUCGGGGGUGGCCUCUACAGUUUACCGGGCCAGCAUCAGUUUGAGCGGUAGGAUAAGUGCAAAGAAAUGUGGCACUGCUUCGGUAGUGUGUUAUAGUCUUUGUCGAUACUGCCAGCUUAGACUGAGGACUGCGGCUUCGGCCUAGGAUGUUGGCAUAAUGAUCUUAAGUCGC